CCGGAUUCAUUGGGUUUAAAGGGUGCGUAGGCGGUUUUUUAAGUCAGUGGUGAAAUCCUGCGGCUCAACCGUAGAACUGCCAUUGAAACUGAAGAACUUGAAUAUAGUUGAGGUAGGCGGAAUGUGCAGUGUAGCGGUGAAAUGCUUAGAUAUUGCACAGAACACCGAUUGCGAAGGCAGCUUACCAAGCUAUUAUUGACGCUGAGGCACGAAAGCGUGGGGAUCGAACAGGAUUAGAUACCCUGGUAGUCCACGCCUUAAACGAUGUUCACUCGCUGUUUGCGAUAUACCGUAAGCGGCCAAGCGAAAGCAUUAAGUGAACCACCUGGGGAGUACGUCGGCAACGGUGAAACUCAAAGGAAUUGACGGGGGCCCGCACAAGCGGAGGAACAUGUGGUUUAAUUCGAUGAUACGCGAGGAACCUUACCUGGGCUUAAAUGUAGGCUGCAUUCCGCUGAAAGGUGGAUUUCCGCAAGGACUGCUUACAAGGUGCUGCAUGGUUGUCGUCAGCUCGUGCCGUGAGGUGUCGGGUUAAGUCCCAUAACGAGCGCAACCCCUACCGUUAGUUGCCAUCAGGUCAUGCUGGGAACUCUAGCGGGACUGCCACCGUAAGGUGAGAGGAAGGUGGGGAUGACGUCAAAUCAGCACGGCCCUUAUGUCCAGGGCUACACACGUGUUACAAUGGCAGGUACAAAGGGCAGCUACACCGCGAGGUGAUGCUAAUCUCUAAAGCCUGUCUCAGUUCGGAUCGCAGUCUGAAACCCGACUGCGUGAAGUUGGAUUCGCUAGUAAUCGCGCAUCAGC
rnacentral:rRNA from 1 species